rnacentral:rRNA from 1 species
UAGGGAAUCUUGGACAAUGGGGGAAACCCUGAUCCAGCCAUGCCGCGUGAGUGAUGAAGGCCUUCGGGUUGUAAAACUCUUUCGCACGCGACGAUAAUGACGGUAGCGUGAGAAGAAGCUCCGGCUAACUUCGUGCCAGCAGCCGCGGUAAUACGAAGGGGGCUAGCGUUGUUCGGAUUUACUGGGCGUAAAGCGCGCGCAGGCGGCUUUGCAAGUCAGGGGUGAAAUCCCAGAGCUCAACUCUGGAAUUGCCUUUGAGACUGUGAGGCUUCGAGUACGGGAGAGGUGAGUGGAAUUCCCAGUGUAGAGGUGAAAUUCGUAGAUAUUGGGAAGAACACCGGUGGCGAAGGCGGCUCACUGGCCCGUUACUGACGCUCAGGCGCGACAGCGUGGGGAUCAAACAG